CUUGUGCUCACUUCCUGCCACCUGUUCCCUCAUUACGAGCAGCAGCAGCACAUGCAUGGGAGUAAAUUACAGGGUUACAGGAGUCCAGAGUCCAUUCCAGAGGCCACAAGCACAAGACAGGGAAAAGGCCACGAUGGGACACACACCAUCGCAGGAGAUGCACUGAAUUUGCAAUCUCCUAUUAAACUGGGCGCGUUUCAGACCGUGGAAGGAAAGCCCCAGGACAGCAGGGGAGGAAUGUGCAAACUGCCUUGCGUUCCUGUCCUUAGGAAGCGAAGGGAAAAUGCGAAGUACUGCAGCAUCUCUGCUACGUGAACAAGUUAUAUUUGAAAAUGUGGCUGGUGUCCUUCAUAUCAAUGUCUAAUAAUUUAUUGUAAAAUGUACGUACUAUUUGUUUUCUUUACAAAGUUAUUUAUCUGGAUGAAUAACUGGUUGGACAUUCUCACCUUUCACCCCCUGGGAGAUAACAGAGGCCGAUGCCAUUAUACAUCCAAAACAUUAACUUCUAACAUCUGGAUCUGACGCGGAUUUUCUUCCAUGAUGUUUUUGUUGCCAUGAGCAUUCAAACAAGGAUAAACAAGCCAAAAAAUAUUUUAUGUAUUUCAAAAAGUAAUGACGGUAACUGUUAAAACUAGCUAUGUAGAAAUGUUUGAACAAUGCAUUGUCGUCAUGGACAUGUAACAGACAUAUUGCACAUUGCAGUGUAUUACAUCCACCUGCAGUCUGUAAAGGGAGAAGAUAGAUUAUGUCCUUUCUGAAUAGACCCCAGAGUUUUCCCUGAUUUUUCUCAAUAUCUUAUACCAGUAACUGAUGCAAUUGAACCGUAAAACAAUUUGAUACCAUUUGCAUAAUGUUACAACCCAACCCCAUCUACUGCUUUUCUUUAUUUAUUUUUGUGAAUAAAGUUUCCCACCCGCUG